rnacentral:rRNA from 1 species
AGUGAACGCUGGCGGCAGGCCUAACACAUGCAAGUCGAACGGCAGCACGGCAGUAGCAAUACUGUGGGUGGCGAGUGGCGGACGGGUGAGGAAUACAUCGGAACGUGCCCAAUCGUGGGGGAUAACGUAGCGAAAGUUACGCUAAUACCGCAUACGAUCUACGGAUGAAAGCGGGGGAUCGCAAGACCUCGCGCGAAUGGAGCGGCCGAUGUCAGAUUAGCUAGUUGGUAAGGUAAAGGCUUACCAAGGCGACGACGGGUAGCCGGUCUGAGAGGAUGUACGGCCACACUGGGACUGAGAUACGGCCCAGACUCCUACGGGAGGCAGCAGUUGGGAAUCUUAGGCAAUGGACGAAAGUCUGACCUAGCGACGCCGCGUGAGGGAAGAAGGCCUUCGGGUUGUAAACCUCUGUCAUGGGGAAGAAGGAAGUGACGGUACCCAAGAGGAAGCCCCUGCUAACUACGUG